rnacentral:tRNA from 2 species
GGCGGAGUAGCUCAGCUUGGUUAGAGCAGUGGAAUCAUAAUCCACGUGUCGGGGGUUCAAGUCCCUCCUCCGCUACCA